GAUGAAGAAUGUAGCGAAAUGCGAUAAGUAAUGUGAAUUGCAGAAUUCAGUGAAUCAUCGAAUCUUUGAACGCACCUUGCGCCCUUUGGCUAUUCCGAAGGGCAUGCCUGUUUGAGUAUCAUGAACACCUCAACCCUCAUGGUUUGCCAUGAUGGGCUUGGACUUUGGGGGUCUUGCUGGAUUGUAGUCAGCUCCCCUUAAAUGAAUCAGCUUGCCAGUGUUUGGUGGCAUCACAGGUGUGAUAAAUAUCUACGCUUGUGGUUUUACAUCAGAUAACCUUCAGUGAUGGAGGUUCACUGGAGCUCAUAAAGGUGUCUCUCCUCUGUGAGGACAGCUCUUUGAAUGUUUGAUCUCAAAUCAGGCAGGACUACCCGCUGAACUUAAGCAUAUCAAUAAGCGGAGGA
rnacentral:misc_RNA from 1 species